GCGCUGUGUUGUAAGAGCGUGGUGAUGCGGAACAGGCUUGACUCGGGAGGUCGCUCGUGUGAGGUUGGCAAGAGUUCACGUGAGAAUACCCGGUUGUCGGGUCGAUCGCUGAGAAUGACCAUCAACGAUAUAUGUUCUACCAACUGAUUGAUCCCGUGUAGUUAUCGAUUUCUCCGUAACAACGCUCAGCACCAUUGGCACACCAGACCGAGGAGCAGCGAGGCUGGGUAUACAGCGUAUAUAAUCAUACGCGCAUUAUUGCUGCAUAUAUAUCCUGCCCUAGCACAUGAAGUGGGGAAUGACGGUUAAUAAAAGUCCAUGAAAGAGACCAGACUUUAUGAUGCUGUUUGCAUGAGCGUGGUUUAACAGAGACUGACUGUACAGGUCUCGCCAAAGCAUCGAAUUACUAGGUCCCUUUCGUUGAUUCUGAAGUUGUGAACAGAUGUUUCUAUAUUCCUAACCUUGCCCCUUCCCUAAUAUGCGGCGUAAUCCUUCUCCUGGAAAUCAUGAUCAAAACAAACUUUAAUCUGCACAAUUUCUAUUAAGUAACCUUGCUAAAAGUAUAACACAUGAGGGCAAGCCAUCUAGCCAUCUACGGAACCAUUUACAUCUCCCAACAGGAGGGACCACAAACAGAAGUUUAGAAUUGAAGCGGCACAUAUUUUGUGAAAUUCAGAACACGCAACCCUGUCUUCUAAAUGAGGCUGGUCUUUGGAACAAUUUAUAACAACAUGAACGAGUUUGAAAUUCAUUUACUAAUAAUCAAUAUGGGGAAGAGUUUCACUUCAUGUUAGAAUGAGAAUCGAAAUAUUAUUGAACUAAAUACUCUCAAGUUCUGUAAUUAAUUGUUUAAUAUUACAAUAAGAAAAAAAAAACAACAAAAUGAAAUUAUGAGAUAGUCUGUUCUCCACAGAUAAUGGUUUAGCCUUGAUCAUCCGGGCUGUUUGCAUGUAUGUAAAUAUGUUUAUAUAUCUUGUACAGUACUUUUUGUACCAUUGAUAUAUGUUGAGAUAAUAAACGAAUGAAAUUGAAU
rnacentral:sRNA from 1 species